GAGUCAGACUGGAAGAAAGGAAAAAAUAAAUACUGGGAGUUGACUCAACUCUCUGCUUAAAUACGGAUUACCUCCUCCUCCUUCUCCUCCUCCAUCUCCUACACCCCUCCCCAACUUCCAACUUCACUGAGACUGUAUCUCCCUGGCGAAAAAGUCGCUGCCCUCCUACUUACUGUCAAGUGAACAAAGUUAGGCGCCCACGUGAUCCUCCGAGCCAAUGGCCGACCCGCCUGCGAUUCCCGGAUAAGGAAAUCUGCUCACCCGGACCCCACUCCAGCCACAGAGGAUUAGAAUCUGGUGGAUUGCCUACAACACACUUCUCCCAUUCUCCAGCCUCCUAGGGACCUGCAGAGGUCCCUCUAGCCCAGGACCUUGGGCUGCUCCAGUCUAUACCGAAAUUUGCUAACGUUCCGUCCUGGAACAGAAGGAGAUGGAUUCUUCAGUUCAGGCUUUGACAUCUGUCUCUUCAGGACUCCAGGAAUUCCCUCCUGGUCUGACACUGCAGAGAAACUCGCCUAAGGACUAAGCAGAAAUAGGGACCUACACCCAAUUGGUUUAGUCAAAACCCUGGGUUAAAUCUAUUUGAAAUUUGAUAUUAAACCUUUGUCUCGUCUGGCCAUGUUUCAAAAAGGAAUCUUUACAGAAACUCUCAGGUUAUCUUCAUCCUAGAAGGAAAAACGCCCACAGUGUACCUCCUAUAGUAAACGCUUGGAAGAGAACAUAAUGACAUCUCAUAAUACAACAGUCAUUUAAAGACCCAAAAUAGGCAUAUGCCCCAGUGUUAUAAUUACUGAGUCUCUCUAGGCAUUUACUUAUGAGCUAAGCUCAAUGCAUGGAUUCAAAGUUCAUUUCAGGUUGCCUGUUUCAACUCCAGUAAAAAAGAUCUCUGUGAGGCCAUUUGGUACUUUUCCUUUGCAUUUCUCCUCCCUCAUCCAAAUAGGAAGAGAAGGAGUCAAGAUAAACACAAAAAUGGAGGCUUGGGAGAGAGUGAGAGAAUUAACAAGCUAAUCUUUCAAUAGGAUCCUUUGGGAUUCAGAAAACAGAAAAGAAAACGAAUUAGAGAUGCACGCACCUAAGGACAAACCUGCAGAAGCCCCGAAAUAGGGUAUCCUCCAUGAUGCCUCCAAAUCCCCCAAGAGGCGACGCCCCACACAGGUUGGCACUUUCCCUCCACUUCUCCCCUAAGUGUGUCUUUCCCAACUGGCCUGGGUCAUCUUUUGGUACGGCAAAAUGGUCUGGGGCCUGCGAGGUACCUUUCCUCCCUGGAUGCAUUCAGCCCUACCCCACUGGGCUCCGAGGUCAGGGAUCGCUGUGACCAAAACCAGCCUCUGUGCUCCGAAGCCGCAAGGCUCAGCCCGGAUCCACUCGGGGAGAGGCAGGCCAGAGGGCGGCCUUGCAGCCUAGGAACCGUUUCCAGGGAGCAGAAGCUAAAGGAUACUGCAGAGAGUGCAUUUUUCUCUCCAAGAGGAACUUUAGGGGGAGAAGAGACAAGAGAGGAGACGCCUAAAUCACCGAGAAAAGGAAAAAGGAGGGAAGAGAAACGUUAAAACUUGGGGAAAAGGUGCUUUUUGGGAUCCGACAGGUUCCCGAAUUGCCGGAAGUCCAAUCCUCUCCAGGCUCCCAAAUUUCCCCUCUUCCUCUUGGAGCCUGCAAUCAGUAAAUUCGCCAAAAGAAAGAACGAAAGAUCCGCCUAAACCUGCCGGCGUGCCCCCACCCCAGGUCUGCAGCGGUGGAGGUGCUGCGGCGGUGUGGCCGGUGGCGCGUAAUGUAUGCUGCAGCGGCUCGGAGCCCCACGUAGGCCGGCGCUGCUGCCCCCGUCUGCUGACCUCUGCAUGAUCCCGGACUCUAUGAAUUAUUGAUGAGAUAUGAGCGUUGAUUUCCCCUUUCAGGAUGCAAACUCCAUUAUAUUGUUAAAAUGGCGAUUUAAUCGUUGAGAAUAGCUUUGGUGUGGGUUUUUUCCCCCAACUCAUUUGCGCCUCCUUCCUUUUCAUUUAACUCUCUUAAUUAAAUCCUUUAACAGAUUUUAAUCACUUUUUGGAGGGAGGGGUAGGAGAAAGGAGAAGGCCAUAAGACCAUCACUACCAACAACAACGGGACGCUAAAGCAAAAUAAAACAAACCAAAGUCAAAAACCAUCAUAAGCCUCUACCUUUGAGAAGUUGAAAGGAAGGUGAAGAGAGGGAGGUUAACCCCUCUAGAAAGGAUGCUCGUUAACCUCUGCUGGAGACAGACCUUUAGAGGGCUGGGGAAACCCACCAGAGACAAGGAAGAGUGGGGUGGGGCCUGCAGGAACGACCUGAGGGGUAUUUAAUCCACUCCUGCCCCACCCCCACAACCAUCACCACCAUGAGACUUGUGUGUGAAGUUGACUGUAGAGACUAAGUCAUUCUUGCCCUUGCUGAGAACUCCAGGGGCCUCAAGCCUGGGGAUUCAUGUGGAGAGGGUCCUCCAAUCUCAACCUCAGAGUCACUUAGGGAGAAAUAUCCAUUCUGCUUCAGGAACCCCCAUUUCUCCCUUCCCCUCUCCAAACAGCUCGGUUUCCAGGCGGUGUUAAUUAAUAUGGAUGUGUAACCACGCUGCAGCAAUCGAUAAAUCUCACUGUGGGCAGAUCUCAGCCUCAAAAUCCGAUUACUCUGAGAAACUCCAAAAAUGGGGAGGAUUACCAGUAUCCCCUCCCUUAAAAGAGGGGAGCCCAUUCUUGCUAGCCCUGUCUUCCAAGAUUGACCAGGUUGGUCCCCCAAGCUGAGAAGUCCAUGCUGGGGAGACUAGUCCUGGGAAGGGACUGAGUUUGGGGGGUUGUGCUGAGCUUCUGUCUUCUCCAUUGCUCUGAAUCCUUGGUAUGCAAAUCCCAGGGAUAAAGGAACCAGUCAAGGAAAGGAGCUUCCUCUUGGAUAUUCCCAUUCUGCUCACCAGCCCUCAGAGAAUAACUUCUCACAGCCAGGGAAGGGUUAAGUGUCCCUGCCACAGUUAUGGAGAGGAAGCCGAUGAAAUAUGGGCAAUUGGAACUCCAGGCCCGGCUGGCUUUCCUGUUUACACUUCUUUAUACUUCCUCCCACCCAUUGGCCUCAGAGAAACAAAACAAAUAACCAAAUAAAACAAAACAAA